rnacentral:rRNA from 1 species
UGGGGAAUAUUGGACAAUGGGCGAAAGCCUGAUCCAGCCAUGCCGCGUGUGUGAAGAAGGUCUUCGGAUUGUAAAGCACUUUAAGUUGGGAGGAAGGGCAGUAAGCGAAUACCUUGCUGUUUUGACGUUACCGACAGAAUAAGCACCGGCUAACUCUGUGCCAGCAGCCGCGGUAAUACAGAGGGUGCAAGCGUUAAUCGGAAUUACUGGGCGUAAAGCGCGCGUAGGUGGUUCGUUAAGUUGAAUGUGAAAGCCCCGGGCUCAACCUGGGAACUGCAUCCAAAACUGGCGAGCUAGAGUAGGGCAGAGGGUGGUGGAAUUUCCUGGGUAGCGGUGAAAUGCGUAGAUAUAGGAAGGAACACCAGUGGCGAAGGCGACCACCUGGGCUAAUACUGACACUGAGGUGCGAAAGAGUGGGGAGCAAACAGG